rnacentral:lncRNA from 1 species
UCGGGGUGACUGCUGACGCCAUAACACUGACUCGGGGUGACUGGCUGACAGCCAUACACUGACUCGGGGUGACUGCUGACCCCAUUACAUUGACUCGGGGUUGACUGCUGACGCCAUUACACUGACUCGGGGUGACUGCUGACCCCAUUACAUUGACUCGGGUGACUGCUGACCCCAUUACACUGACCCUCACUGACUCGGGUGACUGUGACCCCCAUUACACUGACUCGGGGUGACUGCUGACACCAUUACAC